rnacentral:misc_RNA from 1 species
AAACCUUCAAGCUCAGCUUGGUAUUGGGUGCUUGUCCCGCCUCUGCGCGGCGACUCACCUCAAAGUCAUUGGCAGCCCGCAUCCGCCGGCCGUGAGCGCAGCACAGUCGCACUCUAGGUAUUUGGCAGGUCGGCUCUCCAGAAGCACUUCUUUUAU